GUGGGGAAUAUUGGACAAUGGGCGAAAGCCUGAUCCAGCCAUGCCGCGUGUGUGAAGAAGGUCUUCGGAUUGUAAAGCACUUUAAGUUGGGAGGAAGGGCAGUAAGUUAAUACCUUGCUGUUUUGACGUUACCGACAGAAUAAGCACCGGCUAACUUCGUGCCAGCAGCCGCGGUAAUACGAAGGGUGCAAGCGUUAAUCGGAAUUACUGGGCGUAAAGCGCGCGUAGGUGGUUUUGUAAGUUGGAGGUGAAAUCCCCGGGCUCAACCUGGGAACUGCCUGCAAAACUGCAUGACUAGAGUACGGUAGAGGGUAGUGGAAUUUCCUGUGUAGCGGUGAAAUGCGUAGAUAUAGGAAGGAACACCAGUGGCGAAGGCGACUACCUGGACUGAUACUGACACUGAGGUGCGAAAGCGUGGGGAGCAAACAGGAUUAGAAACCCUUGUAGUCC
rnacentral:rRNA from 1 species